rnacentral:rRNA from 1 species
UACGUAGGGUGCAAGCGUUGUCCGGAAUUAUUGGGCGUAAAGAGCUCGUAGGCGGUUUGUCGCGUCUGCUGUGAAAACUCAGGGCUUAACUCUGAGCUUGCAGUGGGUACGGGCAGACUAGAGUGCGGUAGGGGAGACUGGAAUUCCUGGUGUAGCGGUGAAAUGCGCAGAUAUCGGGAGGAACACCGGUGGCGAAGGCGGUUCUCUGGGCCUGUACUGACGCUGAGGAGCGAAAGCGUGGGGAGCGAACAGG